GACACCGUGGCCGAGUGGUUAAGGCGAGAGAUUAGAAUUAAUUUAAAUCCUAUUAUCUCUUGUGCUAUGCACGCACAGGUUCGAGUCCUGUCGGUGUCG